rnacentral:misc_RNA from 1 species
UCUCCGUUGGUGAACCAGCGGAGGGAUCAUUACAGAGUUGCAAAACUCCCAAACCAUCGUGAACGUUACCUAUCCCGUUGCUUCGGCGGGCGGCCCGGGCCCCGCGCCCGGCGCCCCCCGGCCCCCCGUGGGCGCCCGCCGGAGGUAAACCAAACCCUUGAAUUGCAUGGCCUCUCUGAGUCUUCUGUACUGAAUAAGUCGAAACUUUCAACAACGGAUCUCUUGGUUCUG